rnacentral:sRNA from 1 species
CUUCACGAAGGCUUUAAUUCUGCAUUUCAGCCAGUCACACGCAAAUGUUAGGCUGGUUGGCCCAAGAUGCCUAUCAGUGAUACCUGAAAGUAUCAUAACUUGUUGUUGGGUCUGUUACAGAUUGCUCCAGCGGAAGCACCAGAUGCUAAAGUGAGGAUGGUGAUUAUCACUGGACCACCAGAGGCUCAGUUCAAGGCUCAGGGAAGAAUUUAUGGAAAAAUUAAAGAAGAAAACUUUGUUAGUCCUAAAGAAGAGGUGAAACUUGAAGCUCAUAUCAGAGUGCCAUCCUUUGCUGCUGGCAGAGUUAUUGGAAAAGGAGGCAAAACGGUGAAUGAACUUCAGAAUUUGUCAAGUGCAGAAGUUGUUGUCCCUCGUGACCAGACACCUGAUGAGAAUGACCAAGUGGUUGUCAAAAUAACUGGUCACUUCUAUGCUUGCCAGGUUGCCCAGAGAAAAAUUCAGGAAAUUCUGACUCAGGUAAAGCAGCACCAACAACAGAAGGCUCUGCAGAGUGGACCACCUCAGUCAA